GCUGUCAUUCCGACUUCAACUGAUACCGCCCAGCUCCGCUCAACCAGUCCUGAUCGCAGAGUUAAGGUCCUGUCUCAAUCCUGUACUGAUGAAGCAGCUGAUGGAGGUCUUCAGGAUCAUCACACACUUCAGACAGUUUGUGUCAGAUGAAGAUAAAGAGUCACUAGUAACAGGUCACUGCAUCGUUUGUAAUAUUUACCUCAGUCACUGAUCUGCCUAACUCAUGAGCAAUCUUCUCCCACCGGCCUGGCGUUCCACCAGGAAACUUUGCCAUGCAGCGGGAGAGCUGGCUGAGAUCCUCCUCCGUCCACUCUAGAGUCUAAAUUCAUCACCAGCCAUUGGUUAAUGCAAUACUUUCCAUUUAAAUGAGUGUUCUCUGAACAGAAAAUAAACUUACUUUCAUCUUU